rnacentral:rRNA from 1 species
AGCGAACGCUGGCGGCAGGCUUAACACAUGCAAGUCGAGCGGGCAUCCUUGUGGUGUCAGCGGCAGACGGGUGAGUAACGCGUGGGAACGUGCCCUUCGGUUCGGAAUAACUCAGGGAAACUUGAGCUAAUACCGGAUACGUGCGAGAGCAGAAAGGUUUAUCUGCCGAAGGAUCGGCCCGCGUCUGAUUAGCUAGUUGGUGAGGUUACGGCUCACCAAGGCGACGAUCAGUAGCUGGUCUGAGAGGAUGAUCAGCCACACUGGGACUGAGACACGGCCCAGACUCCUACGGGAGGCAGCAGUGGGGAAUAUUGGACAAUGGGGGCAACCCCGAUCCAGCCAUGCCGCGUGAGUGAUGACGGCCUUAGGGUUGUAAAGCUCUUUUCUCCGGGACGAUAAUGACGGUACCGGAGGAAUAAGCCCCGGCUAACUUCGUG